ACAGGAUUAGAUACCCUGGUAGUCCACGCCGUAAACGAUGUCGACUUGGAGGCUGUUCCCUUGAGGAGUGGCUUCCGGAGCUAACGCGUUAAGUCGACCGCCUGGGGAGUACGGCCGCAAGGUUAAAACUCAAAUGAAUUGACGGGGGCCCGCACAAGCGGUGGAGCAUGUGGUUUAAUUCGAUGCAACGCGAAGAACCUUACCUGGCCUUGACAUCCAGAGAACUUUCCAGAGAUGGAUUGGUGCCUUCGGGAACUUUGAGACAGGUGCUGCAUGGCUGUCGUCAGCUCGUGUUGUGAAAUGUUGGGUUAAGUCCCGCAACGAGCGCAACCCUUAUCCUUUGUUGCCAGCGAUUCGGUCGGGAACUCAAAGGAGACUGCCGGUGAUAAACCGGAGGAAGGUGGGGAUGACGUCAAGUCAUCAUGGCCCUUACGAGUAGGGCUACACACGUGCUACAAUGGCGCAUACAAAGAGAAGCGACCUCGCGAGAGCAAGCGGACCUCAUAAAGUGCGUCGUAGUCCGGAUCGGAGUCUGCAACUCGACUCCGUGAAGUCGGAAUCGCUAGUAAUCGUGGAUCAGAAUGCCACGGUGAAUACGUUCCCGGGCCUUGUACACACCGCCCGUCACACCAUGGGAGUGGGUUGCAAAAGAAGUAGGUAGCUUAACCUUCGGGAGGGCGCUUACCACUUUGUGAUUCAUGACUGGGGUGAAGUCGUAACAAGGUACC
rnacentral:rRNA from 1 species